UACGUAGGGUGCAAGCGUUGUCCGGAAUUAUUGGGCGUAAAGAGCUCGUAGGCGGUCUGUCGCGUCGGCUGUGAAAACCCGGGGCUCAACCCCGGGCCUGCAGUCGAUACGGGCAGACUGGAGUGCGGUAGGGGAGACUGGAAUUCCUGGUGUAGCGGUGAAAUGCGCAGAUAUCAGGAGGAACACCGGUGGCGAAGGCGGGUCUCUGGGCAGUAACUGACGCUGAGGAGCGAAAGCGUGGGGAGCGAACAGG
rnacentral:rRNA from 1 species